GAUGAACGCUGGCGGUAUGCUUAACACAUGCAAGUCGAACGGUACCUUCGGGUAUAGUGGCGGACGGGUGAGUAACGCGUGAGAAUCUAUCUUCAGGUCGGGGACAACAGUUAGAAAUGACUGCCAAUACCGGAUGUGCCGAAAGGUAAAAGAUUUAUUGCCUGAAAAAGAGCUCGCGUCAGAUUAGCUAGUAGGUGGUGUAAGAGACUACCUAGGCUUCGAUCUGUAGCUGGUCUGAGAGGACGAUCAGCCACACUGGAACUGAGACACGGUCCAGACUCCUACGGGAGGCAGCAGUGGGGAAUUUUCCGCAAUGGGCGAAAGCCUGACGGAGCAAUACCGCGUGAGGGACGAAGGCUCUUGGGUCGUAAACCUCUUUUCUCAAGGAAGAUUCAGACGGUACUUGAGGAAUAAGCAUCGGCUAACUCUGUG
rnacentral:rRNA from 1 species